UCUACAUUCUGCUCGGCUGCAGCCACA
rnacentral:piRNA from 1 species